AGUUUUAUAUUCAAAUAUGAUUUAAAAUUGCAAAUUUUAAGGUAUAAUUAAAAUUAUUAAAACUU
rnacentral:tRNA from 1 species